rnacentral:rRNA from 1 species
UACGAAGGGGGCUAGCGUUGCUCGGAAUGACUGGGCGUAAAGGGCGCGUAGGCGGUUUGGACAGUCAGAUGUGAAAUUCCUGGGCUCAACCUGGGGGCUGCAUUUGAUACGUUCGGACUAGAGUGGGGAAGAGGGUCGUGGAAUUCCCAGUGUAGAGGUGAAAUUCGUAGAUAUCGGGAGGAACACCAGUGGCGAAGGCGACUUCCUGGCCUGUUCUUGACGCUGAGGCGCGAAAGCUAGGGGAGCAAACGGG